rnacentral:lncRNA from 1 species
GAUGGAGGGGAGAUAAGAAGUGUCGCAGACGGGAAGGAAAAUGGAAUGAAUUAUUCUUUAUUGACCGGCAUCCAGAUGUUAUUCCAGCUCUGUCUGUUUUUAUUCUGUGGCUAAAGUGAGGUCAGAAUUGGCCAGAGAGAAAAAUGGUAAAGAAAAAAAACACACAACACAAAAAGUCAGGUGGAAGAGACAGCUGAGGAGGAAGAAAAACAGACAGACAAAUGGGGGUUUAGUAACAGUAACCGCUGCACUCUAACAUCUGCAGAGAACGUUUCAGCACAGAGAGUUAUGGCAGUGAAGAAGUCACACCACCAUCCACAGCUGGUUCACAUUAACAACAGGCAAUUUGUCACCUUUAGCUGAAUUCCAGCAACACACACACAGAUACACACACAGAGACUCUCUCUCUCUCUUGAGUCUUUCUUUCCCUCUGCCUUUCGAAAACCACAUGACAAUGUGUACACUCACACUGUUAGUUUGCCAAUACUGUCUCACUGUGGAGGAAAGCCAACAUUGCACUUUGCUUCCAGAUGCUGACGUAACACCAUUCUGUGACCAAAAAUCCUCCAAUACAAACUCCAGUUAGGGACUCGAGGGUCUUCUUGUGUUGUGUAAUGUUUUUCGGGUGUUUUUUUCAUGCAUCAAACGUAGCUGCUGGCCCCUUUAGUGUCCAGAAAACAUUUGAGGAAGUAGUUUUGCAAGAACAGGAAACAUUGCAGCUUAUUCACCACAUAGAAACACACACUGAAAAGGACUAAAAACACACCCAACAAACCAGCAAGUCACAUCAUGGAGUCUCAGCAGAUCUGCGGUCUUUUUAUCAUGUUGACUUGGAUAUUUGUCAUUUUUGUCCCGUCUGUCUGUUCAGGAGAGGAUGCACCAAAAAUAAUCCUGGACAACACACUGUUUGUGACAUUCAAGGGAGAAGAUCUCAACAUUAGUGGGACACUGACACAGCCAGUCAACCAAACUGCAGAUGUCCUCAAGUGCUCCGGUCCUUCCCACAGGCAGAUAUUCCACUGUGACAUCCCUACAAACAGCUAUCCGAACACUACACUGAUGCUGCAGCUGAAAAAGCUGAAUUUAUCAGGAGAUUACUACUGCCAGUAUAAAACAGCUAAAGUGUACUGGUUUGUUUGGGUCAGAGAUGAAGGCUACAAGGCGCCUGUUGACCACACAGAAUACAUAAUGGCAAUCAUCACUGGUGUGCUGCUGUUGUUCAGUGUGGUUGGCUCAGUGUAUGUCUUCAGAGGAGAUUGGAAAGAAAAGAUUAUUAAAUGUGCUGAAAGCAGCAAAAAUCCAGGGCAGACCAGAAAAGUGAGGAAGGAACAAGAGAUGGAGGAUAACACGGCUGUGAUAGCAGAUCAGUCUACGUCCUUCUAUGCAAGUCUAGAGCCUCGGCCGGGUUCCAUCUAUCAUGUGCUGGACCGCUCAGCUGCAAAUGGGGAACAGGAACAAAAGAAAGUUAAACACAAGAAAAAGGAGAUCAAACAAACGGUUGCACAAACCACAGAAAACAAGGAUGAAGGUGUAUUCGAAUGUGUUUAUGAGAACUUCUGAUUUCUGAUUCUGAACUUGUUCCUACAAAUUAGUGGCUGAGAAAUGUAUCUGUUGCUUUGUUGUCAUCUGUAGUAGUUAUAGAACAUUUAUUUUGACUCUUUCAUUGAGCAAAAGUAACAAAACCACAAUGUAAAACUUUGAAAUUGUAAGUAGGCUACAUUAUACAGUAGCCUAUAUGUUUAGAAGCAUUGUCAUUCAAAUGUAGUCACUUAAUAAUUAUACAUUAUAUUUAUU